rnacentral:tRNA from 1 species
GGCACCGUCGUCUAGCAGCAGGACAGGCCCCUUACAAGGAUCAGGUCCCCGUGCAACUCGGGGCGGUGCCA